rnacentral:rRNA from 1 species
GACAGAGGGGGCAAGCGUUGCUCGGAAUUACUGGGCGUAAAGCGCACGUAGGCGGCUUCUUAAGUCGGUGGUGAAAUCCUGGAGCUCAACUCCAGAACUGCCUUUGAUACUGAAGAUCUUGAGUUCGGGAGAGGUGAGUGGAACUGCGAGUGUAGAGGUGAAAUUCGUAGAUAUUCGCAAGAACACCAGUGGCGAAGGCGGCUCACUGGCCCGAUACUGACGCUGAGGCACGAAAGCGUGGGGAGCAAACAGG